CACGGGGGGAGCAAGCGUUGUUCGGAAUCACUGGGCGUAAAGGGCGCGUAGGCGGUCAGCACAAGUCAAUUGUGAAAUCUCCGAGCUUAACUCGGAAAGGUCAACUGAAACUGUGCGACUAGAGUGCGGAAGGGGCAACUGGAAUUCUUGGUGUAGCGGUGAAAUGCGUAGAUAUCAAGAGGAACACCUGCGGCGAAGGCGGGUUGCUGGGCCGACACUGACGCUGAAGCGCGAAAGCCAGGGGAGCGAACGGG
rnacentral:rRNA from 1 species